rnacentral:rRNA from 1 species
UAGCGUAUAUUAAAGUUGUUGCGGUUAAAAAGCUCGUAGUUGGAUUUCUGUGGUAGCAAGCCGGUCCACACUAUGUGUGAGUAUCUGGUUCGGCUACUGCAUCCUCCUGAGCGCAUGGUGCACUUCAUUGUGUGGCUUGUUAUCAGGACUUUUACUUUGAGGAAAUUAGAGUGUUCACGGCAGGCGUUUGCCCUGAAUAUAUUAGCAUGGAAUAAUGAUAUAGGAUCUUGGUCCUAUUUUGUUGGUUUCUAGGACCAGGAUAAUGAUUAAUAGGGAUAGUUGGGGGCAUUCGUAUUAUGACGUC